rnacentral:rRNA from 1 species
UACGUAGGUGGCAAGCGUUGUCCGGAUUUAUUGGGCGUAAAGCGCGCGCAGGCGGCUAUGUAAGUCUGAUGUUAAAGCCCGAGGCUCAACCUCGGUUCGCAUUGGAAACUGUGUAGCUUGAGUGAAGUAGAGGCAGGCGGAAUUCCUAGUGUAGCGGUGAAAUGCGUAGAUAUUCGGAGGAACACCAGUGGCGAAAGCGCUUUGCUGGGCUGUAACUGACACUGAGGCACGAAAGCGUGGGGAGCAAACA